rnacentral:rRNA from 1 species
CAGUCGCCGCGGUAAUACGGAGGGUGCAAGCGUUAAUCGGAAUUACUGGGCGUAAAGCGCACGCAGGCGGUUUGUUAAGUCAGAUGUGAAAUCCCCGAGCUAAACUUGGGAACUGCAUUUGAAACUGGCAAGCUAGAGUCUUGUAGAGGGGGGUAGAAUUCCAGGUGUAGCGGUGAAAUGCGUAGAGAUCUGGAGGAAUACCGGUGGCGAAGGCGGCCCCCUGGACAAAGACUGACGCUCAGGUGCGAAAGCGUGGGGAGCAAACAGGAUUAGAUACCCGAGUAGUCCCUGUCUCUUAUAC